GGCCGUGUGGCAAAAUGGUUACUGCGUUGCUUUCCGAGUGCUGUUUACGUAACCACCAAGGCAGAGACUGUGGGUUCGAGUCCCACCAUGGUCG